CUUUUUUAUAAAACAAUCCUCUAAAAAUUUUAAAAUUUACGAACAAACCCUCUAAAAAUUUUAUUUGGAACCCUAACUCUUCUUUCGGCACGUCGGCGCCACGUCAGAAUUUCUUUUAAAGGUGGUGAAUCCCCGCUUUCUACCAUUUUCUUUUAAAGACGGUGAAUCGUUCCCACUUUCUCCCAUUUCUUUUAUGCGGUGAAUUAUUCACCGUCUUUCACUUAUUUACUAUUUUUUUCUAUAUCUCAUAUAUAAUCCUAACAAUCACAUAAAAAUUUUGACAAAUCACAUAUAAUCUUAACAACCUUUAAAUCCUAAUAAUUUAUCCAUAUAAUUUCAUAUAAUUUUAAUAACCUGAAAAUCCUAAUAAACUUUUCAUACAAUCCUAAUAAUCAAAUAAAAAUUCUAAUGAUCCACAAAUAAUCCUAACAAACCUCACUUUUUUUCUAAAUACGGUGAACGAUUCACCGUCUUUAAAAGAAAUAAAAGAAAGCGAGGCUUUUAAAAGAAAUAGGAGAAAACGGAGAAUGAUUCACCGCUUUUAAAAGAAAUUCUGACACGGCGCCGACGUGGCGAAAUGAUAAUUAGUUUUCCUAAUAAAAUUUUGACCCUCUAACCUAUAAUUAACUAAAUUUUUCUAACGGAUUCUAACGGCAGUGAUAAAUUUGAAAACAUCCAAGUUGAACUUUGUAGAAAUAUAUCUGUCAUUCAGAACAUGUAUGAAAUUAAUUAUUUUUUGAGAGAGAUGGGUAGCACGCUACCCGCUUCGUUUAUUUCAUUUAGAAAUAAACUUAGCUAGAAAUGUGAAUCAACUAGGAUUCGAACUUGGGUCUCGGGUACCAAUCAUCAAACCUUUAGCCACAUGCUCUCUUUUCAUAAAAAUAUAUUGAAAUUAUCUGAACUAUAUCCUUACUGAAUAGUUCUUGCUGUACAUUUU
rnacentral:lncRNA from 1 species